rnacentral:lncRNA from 1 species
AUGACUAGCCAAUGCCUGAAAUAAUGAACUCCUCCAAGGCAAGAAAUCUGUUUUGAAGCUUCUCUGCGUUCACACACAGCAGCCUGGUUUCCUGGAAGGGCAUUUUCCACAUUGUGCGUUAUGGAUGAUCAUCCCAGGCAUCAGGUGUGAAGCCCUGCAUCCACAUCCAGGGGCUAUCAAAUCUCUCUGCAAAAGGAGAAGCUGGACUCAGUUCUGUGAAGGAAGCUGCAGAAGAAAAAGGUGAAAGAGGUGAGGAAGCUGCAGAAGAAAACCUGGAAGUUAGCAGAGCUUGAUCCAGAGGUUUAAGGAAAGAAGCCAUCUCCAUAACAUAAAAGUGCAAGGUGAAGCAGCAAGUGCUGAUGGGGAAGCUGCAGCAAGUCAUCCAGAAGAUCUUGCUAAGGGUAUGCACAGAUGUGGAAACAGGAACUGAUGUGUCCAUUACACCACUAGGACAGAGGCCAGAACAAUGAAGAAACCAAAUACUUGGAAGAGGGUAGAGAUAAUGAAUGGAGUCCAAGAGCCCUGAUUGUGCCAUAAAUGUCCAGAUAAUUCCAUACCUGAGGAUUAUGUGGUUUGUAAACUUGGCACUUAGAAGAACCAAUAAAAUCAUGUUAUAGUUUCAA